rnacentral:sRNA from 1 species
AAAUAGCCCUGAUAGCAGUGGAAAUCCUUUUUUCUAUACCUGACAGGUUUUUAAAACCUGUCAGGUAUAGAAAAAAGAUUGUAACGAAUAGCAGGAACGCAA